UUUUAUGUGACUCUUCUGAUGAUAUUCCAUGCACCACUCUUAAUCUUUUGGUGUUGAUUAUGGAUUGCUGAAUUAUU